GACGAACGCUUGCGGCGUGCCUAAGAAAUGCAAGUCGAGCGAGAACCAACCUUCGGGUGAAGUUCUAGCGGCGAACGGUCGCGUAACACGUAAGCAACCUGCCCUAAAGUUGGGGAUAGCCCUCCGAAAGGAGGAUUAAUACCGAAUGUGGACAUAUUUUCGCAUGUUUAUAUGUCUAAAGCAGCGAUGCGCUUUAGGAUGGGCUUGCGGCCUAUCAGCUAGUUGGUGCGGGUAACGGCCUACCAAGGCGACGACGGGUAGCUGGUCUGAGAGGAUGGUCAGCCGGAUUGGGACUGAGACACGGCCCAGACUCCUACGGGGGGCAGCAAUUAGGAAUCUUGCGCAAUGGGCGAAAGCCUGACGCAGCGACGCCGCGUGACUGAUGAAGUCUUUCGGGAUGUAAAGGUCUUUUGCAGGGGACGAAGGAAGUGACGGUACCCUGCGAAUAAGCCCCGGCUAACUACGUGCCAGCAGCCGCCGUAAUAC
rnacentral:rRNA from 1 species